rnacentral:rRNA from 1 species
GUCUACGGCCAUGCUACCCUGAACAAGCCCGAUCCUGUCUGAUCUCGGAACCUAAGCAGAGUCAGGCCUGGUUAGUACUUGGAUGGGAGACCACCUAGGAAGAUCUGGUGCUGUAGGUG